GAUGAACGCUGACAGAAUGCUUAACACAUCAGCAAUUGAUUGGUGGCGGACGGGUGAGUAACGCGUAAAGAACUUACCUCACAGUUAGGGACAACAUUUGGAAACGAAUGCUAAUACCUAAUACUGUGAGAGAGCUUUGCGUCCCAUUAGCUAGUUGGUGGGGUAACGGCUCACCAAGGCGACGAUCCGUAGCUGGUUUGAGAGGACGACCAGCCACACUGGGACUGAGACACGGCCCUUACUCCUACGGGAGGCAGCAGUGGGGAAUAUUGGACAAUGGACCAAAGUCUGAUCCAGCAAUUCUGUGUGCACGAUGAAGUUUUCGGAAUGUAAAGUGCUUUCAGUUGGGAAGCGGUACCAACAGAAGAAGUGACGGCUAAAUACGUGCCAGCAGCCGCGGUAAUAC
rnacentral:rRNA from 1 species